rnacentral:misc_RNA from 1 species
CCUAUCAACAUCUGCCCUCUGCCACCACGCGCAGCGCACAUCCCAGUAUUUCGUAGUUGCGUUGAACAUGAAGCAUGUCACGUUGUACAUUGGCUUUUGCCUCGUUGGAAUCGUUAUCGCCACGCUCAAAGAAGACAGCAAACAUUGGCGAGAAUCGGCUAGCAGGGAGCUGGAGGAGGCUCUGUCGUACAAAUGGAACACGAACAGAGCGAAGAACGUGAUCGUCUUCGUGGGUGACGGCAUGAGUCCCGACACCAUAACUGCCAGUCGGAUAUAUCAAGCCGGCGAGACCGGUCAUUUGGCUUGGGAAAAUUUCCCCCAUAUAGGCAUCCUUAAGACGUACAAUACUAACAAGCAAGUACCAGACUCAGCUUCGACGGCGACUGCUAUGUUCAGUGGAGUCAAGACGAAUUACGAGGUGGUCGGCGUGGACGCGAACGUGCCGCUGGGUAAUUGCACUGCGAGCUUGAACACCAGACACCACGUGGACUCCAUCGUUUCGUGGGCACAGGCUGCAGGCAAGGAUACAGGUUUCGUGACGACCACCAGGGUGACUCAUGCCACUCCAGCACCUUUGUACGCGCACAGCGCGGACAGACGAUGGGAAUGCGAAACGAAAAUGCCGGGGACCGCUGAACAAUGCAAAGACAUCGCCAGGCAGCUAGUGGAGGACAUGCCGGGGAAAAAUAUCAAGGUGAUCAUGGGAGGAGGUAGACAAAUGUUGAAGUCCAACGCGACGGGCACCGAAUUUGAUCCUAUAGACACGUGGGCUGGUCAAAGAAAGGAUGGGAAAGAUUUGAUCGAGGAAUGGAAGCGGGACAAGCGCUCAAGAAAGUUGUCCUUCGACGUUGUUCAGAAUAACGAAGAACUGUCGCGUGUGAACGUCGAUAAGGUCGACUACCUAUUGGGAAUCUUUGCGAAUGGUCAUAUCAGUAUGGACUGGAAGAGGGAGAAAGGUCCCAAAGGGCAGCCGAGUCUCGAAGAGAUGACCGUGACAGCCUUGAAGAUCUUGCAGAAGUCUAAAAAUGGCUAUCUCCUCGUGGUCGAGGGAGGACUCAUUGACUACGCUCAUCAUCGUGGUCACGCAGCUCAGGCGUUAUUGGAAACCGUCAGAUUCUCAGACGCCGUCAACGCGACUCUCACAAUGAUUAACACGCAAGACACUCUCGUUAUCGUGACCAGCGAUCACACUCAUUCGAUGAGUUUUAAUGGGUACAGCGACAGAGGCUCGAGUAUUUUAGGUAUCGCUCAAAAAUCCAAGCACGAUGGAAUUCCGUACACGACGUUGACUUAUAGCACAGGCGGGCCAAACAACGUGGCAUACACGAUUGAAGGUAAUUUCAGCACCAGGUUAGACCCUUCCAAAGAAAAUACAACGGCGUUUACGUAUAGUCAGCAAGCAGUUAUCAUAUCGGACGAAGCUUAUCACGGUGGCGGUGACGUAGCUGUUUAUGCAAUAGGGCCUUUCGCACAUCUAUUCCAUCGCGUGCACGAACAGAGCUAUGUCGCCCGUGUGAUAGCAUACGCUGCGAAUAUGGAAACAAAAUCGUACGAAAGCAACGGCGCAGAACAGCGUAAUUGCCCUAUUGGUGUUUUCUUGUAUUGUUGUUUGACUCUGCUAAUUAUAUUUCAUUGACGAUAAAAAUACAGCGCAAUCUGUACAGUAUUAAAGAAAGUACAACGACAUUAUGUAAGUGGGACAACACAGAGCUGUCUGAAAAAUACACUUGAAUCC